CGCUUACACUCCUACGGGAGGCAGCAGUGGGGAAUAUUGCACAAUGGGGGAAACCCUGAUGCAGCCAUGCCGCGUGUGUGAAGAAGGCCUUCGGGUUGUAAAGCACUUUCAGUAGGGAGGAAGGUAGUGUAGUUAACACCUGCAUUAUUUGACGUUACCUACAGAAGAAGCACCGGCUAACUCCGUGCCAGCAGCCGCGGUAAUACGGAGGGUGCGAGCGUUAAUCGGAAUUACUGGGCGUAAAGCGCAUGCAGGCGGCCUGUUAAGUCAGAUGUGAAAGCCCGGGGCUUAACCUCGGAAUUGCAUUUGAAACUGGCAGGCUAGAGUCUUGUAGAGGGGGUAGAAUUUCAGGUGUAGCGGUGAAAUGCGUAGAGAUCUGAAGGAAUACCAGUGGCGAAGGCGGCCCCCUGGACAAAGACUGACGCUCAGAUGCGAAAGCGUGGGGAGCAAACAGGAUUAGAUACCCUGGUAG
rnacentral:rRNA from 1 species